rnacentral:sRNA from 1 species
CUAAAUUGCAUAACAAUUUAUAAGUUCUUUAUAAUAUACACCAUUCACCACUUAGUUUAUUCUAAUUAUCUACAUAUACAUUUUUGCAGCCACUUUGUAAAAUAAAUCCUGGAGUUGGGAUUUAUUUACAGUGGCUGCCACUGACAUUUAAUAAUUAUUUU